rnacentral:rRNA from 1 species
GGUAGCGACGGGCCAGCGGCGGGGGUAAGGCGUGGGGGGCCGGCGUGGGUCGGAAUUACUGGGCGGAAAGGGUCCGUAGGCGGGGCGGUAAGUCGGGAGUGAAAUCUCGGGGCGGAACUCAGAGGCUGCUUCCGAAACUACCGUGCUAGAGUGCGAGAGAGGCAAGUGGAAUUGCGGGUGUAGCGGUGAAAUGCGUAGAUAUCCGCAGGAACAUCCGAGGCGAAAGCGGCUUGCUGGAUCGCAACUGACGCUGAGGGACGAAAGCUAGGGGAGCAAACAGGAUUAGAUACCCCAGUAGUC